UACGUAGGGUGCAAGCGUUAAUCGGAAUUACUGGGCGUAAAGCGUGCGCAGGCGGCUUUGCAAGACAGAUGUGAAAUCCCCGGGCUUAACCUGGGAACUGCAUUUGUGACUGCAUGGCUGGAGUGCGGCAGAGGGGGAUGGAAUUCCGCGUGUAGCAGUGAAAUGCGUAGAUAUGCGGAGGAACACCGAUGGCGAAGGCAGCCCCCUGGGUCGACACUGACGCUCAGGCACGAAAGCGUGGGGAGCAACAGG
rnacentral:rRNA from 1 species